GGACGGGCGCGCACGAGGCGCCCACGCGGGCGGUCGCGGCGAUACUCACUAUGGGUCGUUGGUGAAGCGGGGGCUCCGCGGGGGCUGGUAUCCGUACAGCAUUGGCAAUUGCUUCACAACCAAUAAAUAGCAGCUGAGAGUGCAGGCCCGCAGCUACAGAGCCAGCAGCCCUGACCCGGUGAGAGCGUGGCCCUGAGUGCCUGCAGCCCGGGAGAGACCUCUAGGGAAAGGAAGGCCAGAGGAAAAAGGAUGUCAAAGUCGCACUGCCCAGUGUCAUCACAUUCAAGUCCUGCAGUAACCUGUGCACAACACACACUCUACGAUUCCGAAGGCCCGGAGGUUGGGAUGCCAAGAUUCACCGUGCGAGUAUGUUUUGCCAUUUGAAACACAAACUACAAAAGAAAACAAAAAGGAGGAGAAGUACAACUGGAAAAGGGUUGUUUAGCACAGAACAGCUAAAUAAUUACUCUUAGGAAGCAGAUGAAGCCUCUAGUAGAAGCCAAAAUACAGCAAAUAACUCCUAGUUCCCUGAUACCCUGUCUCU